CAAGACUUGAGCCUGUGGGAAGAAAAUCACCGGAACCUGAAACCUCAUGAUUCUACACCCAUUUUAUUGACCACUAGGCCACACCUGUGGGCCAUGAGUGCAUGCAUACGUCUCUUCAUGAACGCUAAGCUAAACAACAUACGGGAUGACAUGGAACUGAUCCCAUUGGUGUGAUUAACUAGUAAUGGUUUUUAUACCAUAGUUUAGUGUAUUGCAAUUAAUAGCUAAAUGUUGCUGAAAAGAUAUGAGAAAGAGCAAAUUACAUGCAUUUUACUUUUGGAUAAGUUGACCUCUAAUCUAAAGUGCAGUUAAGUUUUUCAUUAAGCACCUAGGUAUUACUAGUCAAAUUAAAUCAGAAACUUUAUAGGGCCUUAGUCAAGUCUCUUAAAGCAAAGGUUCUUAUCAUCCAAGGACUUUUGGUCUUCUGCUUCACAAUAACAACAACAACAAACCCAGUGAAUUCCCACCAAGUGGGGUCUGGGGAGGGUAAAAUGUACGCAGUCCAUACCGCUACUUCCGAAAAAUUAGAGAGGCUGUUUCCGAUAGACCCCCGGCUCAAGAUCAAGAAUAGUUAACACGGUCAUAGUAAUACCUGAAGCAGAAUGGAUGGCAUAACCGAGAUACGAAAUGAGAAAUAAUACAAAUAGAGCUAAGAGAGCCAUGAAAAUAAGAGCAAUACGAAAGUAAAAACAGUAAAUAAGAAAUAAUAAAAGGCCACCCCCUCGUCGUAAGCUUACUAAGCCGGCUACACCAGAGCUCCCUAACUACUAGCUAUAACCCACACACGCAUUAACCUUCUACCCUAAUCCGCGAUCUCCACAUCUUCCUAUCUGGAGUAUGUUUUUCUGCUUGACGAUCUUCUUAUUUUUUCUUAAUUGAUUGGCUCUAUUUAGUGGCCUUGUCUACAUCCCAUCAUGCUAAAAUUAUUCCAUACCCAGGUGCUUAACAAAGUGUUUUUUUUUUUUCAUAUAUAUAUUUCCACUAAUUGGUUAUGCAUGCAGGUUGCUGCAGAGGAUGUUCAAGUGCUGAAUGCAGUAAGAUUGAAGUUGCCCUUCUUGGUAACGACUGCAGAUGAUGCAAAAGAUUCAGCUAAAGAGGAAAUCAGAUUGCGGAUCCGUAAUUCUCAUCAACUUAAUUUGAUUGAUCACUGGUCCUCAAUCGUCACAUUUCUUUGAUUAAUCACUGUUUCGCAAUCGUCACAUUUCUUUGGAUGGAGAAGUUUGCUGAUGCUGGAGCCGUUUCUGCAAGGGUUAUUUGUGGUGCUUCUCUAGGAAGAGUAGGCUAUCAAAGUCAAUGAAAUUAAUUAUUAGCUGGAAAAUCCUUUUAUUUUUUGAUGAAUAUAACGCUGGAGCUUUUUUUACACACCAAUUCUUAAUAUGGUCUGGAAGGAUGAUAAGGGACUUAAUCAUUAUCCUCUACUCUUAUUGGGGAAGGGUCAAAACCAAGAACGUCUUGCAUCUCUUUUUUCUUUCUUAGAAAAGUGUCUUGAAUUUACUAGACGUAUUGGUUCAGGGACGUAAUUGUAAACUCUAAAAUCAGCAAAGUAGUGACAUUUAUCCGCACUUAUUGAAAAGAAAAAAAAUAGUCUUUUCUCUACAGCGACCCGAUAGGGAUUUGGGCAGGUGGUGGGAUCACGCUGCAAAUAGUUAAACUUUAUAAGGCUUUGUGCUCUAUAUUUCUUCUUUUAUGUCCA